AUUGAACGCUGGCGGCAGGCCUAACACAUGCAAGUCGAACGAGUGGCGGACGGGUGAGUAAUGUCUGGUAAACUGCCUGAUGGAGGGGGAUAACUACUGGAAACGGUAGCUAAUACCGCAUACCAUCAGAUGUGCCCAGCUGGGAUUAGCUAGUUGGUGGGGUAACGGGUCACCAAGGCGACGAUCCCUAGCUGGUCUGAGAGGACGACCAGCGAAACUGGAAAUGAGAAACGGGCCAGAUUCAUAAGGGAGGCAGAAGUGGGGAAUAUUGCACAAUGGGCGCAAGCCUGAUGCAGCCAUGCCGCGUGUAUGAAGAAGGCCUUCGGGUUGUAAAGUACUUUCAGCGGGGAGGCGUUACACGCAGAAGAAGAACCGGCUAACUCAGUGCCAGCAGCCGCGGUAAUUC
rnacentral:rRNA from 1 species